GCCCCAAAGACCGUGCCUUCCUGCCUCGCCUUGCCUCUGAACGGACCACUCAGGGAAGAGGAAGCUGCACAGUAUAGGAUGAGGCAGCAGGGGGGAAGCAGAAGAGCAGCGAACGGUGAUAAGCUGGAUCCUCCUGUGCUUGGGGACAGCAGCAGCCUGGCUACCCAGGGGGAAGAUGGAAUGCCCGUCUCCUGUCACAGCGAGGCCCACGGAUAUAAACCCCGGCAGUCCAGAAGGACACAGGACCCAAACUGGUCAAAGGAAAUUGGGCGUAGCGUUCAUCUCGUGGUUUGAUUGGCCUGGUGAGGGGGGGCAUGACCUAAGCUGGCCCAAUCAUGGACUAACAGCCUCCUGGUGGCCUGGGAUGGAUGAGCAAGCUGCUGCUUUUCUAGGGACUGAUGAGUCUGGAACCAGGGCACCAGCUCCUUAUAUAAAGAUCCUCUCAGCCCUGCAGACCGAACCAGAGGACAGACAGCACGCUUCAGGGUGCCAUGUGGUGGGCAAGGACUGGCAUCUCUGACCCUGACCCUGGCUUGCAGCAGUUGGUACAAACUGUCCUGGGGGAGGAAGGGAGUCAGGACACCAAGCUUUGAAAGUACAUACUUUCAAAAGUUAAAAACCAAACCAAACUGUGUCAUUUGUUCUCCAUAAAACCCUUUCCUGGCUCCCUGGAGCUGUGGAAGAAAGUCCAAAUCUCUAACAAUGGCCAGCAGGCCCAGGACGGCCAGCCUGCUGACUUCCCAUCACUCUGCUCAGGCCACGCAGGGCCCUGGUGCCUCCACCACAUCGCAGCUCCGUCCCAUGUCAGGCCCUUUGUACAGGCUGCACUCCCUGCUCACAAAACGCCCUGGCCUCCAGUCCACCCCGGGCAAGUUCCUCUUUAUCUUUCAAGUCUAGACUUGCUGGCACCUUGGAUAAGCCAUCUCAGACCCUCCUAGCCUCCCCCAGCCUCAAAGAAGAUCCCCACUUUGUACCCUGUUAGUCUCUCAAGGAACUCUGGGCUCUUAGAGUUUAAUUACCGUUAAAUUAUGUGUUUAUUGGAGUGGUUAUUUGCUACCUGUCUUCCCCACUAGAUGGUGAGUGCCAUGAAGUCAGAAUAAUGGUAAUAAUAUUAUUACUUUUAACAACAGCUCCCAUUUAUUAACACCUACUGUGUUGUACAUCAUUACCUCACUGACUCCUUACAACAGCUCCACGAGGUCAACACCGCUAUUACCCCACUUUAGAGCUGAGGAAGCUGUGUCAGUCCUGCCCACGAGACCAGGCACUCAGUAAAUGGUCUGGGGUCACCCACGAGUCUGGAUUACAGUUCUGAUCACUCCUUCCCCCUAAUCCCAACCAGGGAGUCCACGGGGCACUGAAGUCCCUGUCCAUAAGACAGAUUUCUGCCACUCCCUGGGGCAAGAGCCUCGGAUUCCAAGGGCCCCUUUCAGUUCUAACCCCUUCCCAAUCUGAGAAGACAUUAAUUUUACACAUUUUUAUUGUGCAGUUAUGUUGAGUCAGGUGUGACCCAAGCACCAGGACAUGGCAAUAAACAAAACCCACAGGGCCACACCUUCACACGGCCUGUGUCUGCUGGGGAGGUGGACACAAGGCCCUAUCCCUCUCCAGUAAAAAGAUCAAAGGCUGUCAGGGGGAGGGGACAGCACGAGGAAUGAACAGGGGACCACAGGCCACGAAACUGUUCUGCACCAGACUGUCACGGUGGCUCCGGGUCUUACAUCUGUGAAAACCUGCAGAAUGCAGAACCCAAAGAGCGUGCCCUAAUGUCAACUAUGGACUUCAGCUAAUGAGACUACGUCAGUAUUGGUCAACUGCAACAAACGCAUCACACUCAUCAAGAUGUAAGUAACAGGCAAAAACUGUGUGGUGGGAAAAGAGGGGGUUUGUGGGCACUCUCUACAUUAUGAUCAGAUUUAUGUAAAUCUAAAACUGUUCUUUAAAAACAACUUAAAAAUAAUUUUAAAAAUUAAAAAAUAAAAAGUCCUCUCUUGAACCCGCUCCCAUCAGCUAUUUGUCCCUCACAUCACCUGACCUAGGAGUCAUUUCUGGGCCUUUGCCUGGUCUCAGGGGCUCCAUUCUCUCCUGCUCUCUUCCCUCCCACUGGCACCCCCUUCCUAGCCACCUUUGCUGAUUCCUCACCACCAAAGACGCUGGACAGCUUUUCUCUUUUUUCUACCCACACCCCUCCCCUGGUGAUCUCAUCUGGACCCCUGGCUUUCAACUCCAUCUCUUUGCUGAGGACUCUGUUUCCUUCUCCAGCCUGACCUCCCCCUUCAGCUCCAGACUUGCAUAUUGUGUGGCCCCCGAGCAAGUUCACACAGUUGUCUAAAAGGCACCUUAACUUUUUUAACAGACCUAAAGCAGUAUUCUUGAUUCUUCUCACCACCUUCGCCUUCUUCAGAACCUCCAUGCCAGGGGGUCCUCAACCCAACGUCCCCCUUCUGGUGUUCAGGUCAAAACUUGGUAGCACCCCACCCCCAACCCCAUUCAUACUGUCCGCUCCACCUCCAAAAUAUGACUAGGAUCUGCCUACCUCGCCCACGCGUCUCCUGCCUGACUGUGGGCAGAGCCUCUAGCAGCCUCCCGCCGCUGCUCCCACACAAGGCCAGGGAGACUCCAUUCACAUGAGUCAGAUCAUGCCCCUCCCCCUCUCAAAACCCUCCCACUACCCAUUUAGGAAAAAGCCCCAGUCCCUACAUGGCCUGGCAAUUCUCUGACCUCCUCUCCUCCUGUGUUGUCCUUUAUUCUGGCCAUUGAGGUGGGUGUGCCAUGGUGUGUCACUCCGGCUAUCACCUACAUUUCCAGGAUGAUGAUUAAGGAUGGUGAGGUAUGCGCUUUAAAUAAUAAUAACGUACACCGCACUAAUUAUGUGCCAGGCACUGUGCUGAGUGCUUCAUAUACACAGUUGCCAGAUCCCUUUCCAAACCCCUUAGAUCAGAUGGGUUUUGGAAUUCCAGAUAAUUUCAGAAAGGCAACAGAGAGUUUAUUCCCCGGCAGAGUCUGGGGGAGCAUCCAUCACAUUGGUAUUUCUGCAGCAGUCAUAGUCUCUCGGUUGGGGUCAUGUUCCUCCUGGGACUGUGGAUCUGCACUAAACCCUUGAAUCUCCACAACCACUUUAUGAGGUAGGUAGUAUCACCACCUAUAGUUUGAACAUGGGGGAAACUGAGGCACCGGAAGGCUAAGUGCCUUGGCCAUAGUCACACAGGUGGACGUGAAGGGCUGGGAUUCCAACACAGGCUGUUGUUCUUGCUACCAUCCGUUUUUGCUAUGCCUGUUCUGAGGGUAGCUAAUGGAAUUAAUCAAUGCUGAGAUUAAGCUGGGAGAGUCAGAGAAUCAGGCUUUCCAAAUCAUUAUUGCUCACAGCAGGAAGGUCAAACACCACUGAGCUAACUGUGUGUGUUUAACCUAAUUAAUUUAUUUUGAAUACAAGAUUUACCCAAAUAUAAAGCAAGAUUUCCU